CUCCCACCCCUAGCAGCCGUCACCCUUUUGUGCCUUGCCCCAAGAGAAGAGAGGAAGAAAAAAGAAGAGAAGAGAGGGGAGAUGAGGGCAUACCGUCGCCCAUCAUCGUCGUUCCUCUCCAAGAAUUGGUGGCUACACUCCGGAUCAUGCCUAGUACAUCUUUCUUCUUCGAUGAAGGCAAGUGAAUGUAGCAGUGGCUGCUACCGUUUUGACUUGUUGUUUUUUUAUCGCCUACGCUCUAAUAUUCAGAAUUAUGGAAUUCUUUCAUAAUUGAACUCUAUGGUGAUGCUUUACUUGCUUGUAUUAUACUGAUGCUCAAUCAUAUACUGAUGAUGAUUAUGGUUCGAGUAUGACCCAUGAGAUUAAUUUACACCCCUGAAGGCAGAUAAAGUAUUAUUUGAGGUUUGUAUUGUAUCUGAAGGCAGAUGAAGUAUUAUUUGAGGUUUGUAUUGUAUCUGAAGGAAGUGAAGUAUAUUGAUAAAUGCAGCAUGCCAUAUGCAUUACAUUAUUCAAUUGCAUCUGAAGUUUGGUCGUGACCUAUGGUCCGACCGUACCGGUACAACUUAGCAUCGUACGUUGCCCGAGGAGGGGUACGAUGCGGCUUCAUACCCUUAGAGGUAUGAAGGCAGAGGACAUAUGCAUUGCAUUUAUAUGCAUUCAUUGAAGUGAUAUUAGCAGAUGAUGUGGUUUUAUACUCUCAGAGGUAUGAGGGCAGAUGACCUACACAUUGCAUUCCUAUGCAUACAUUGAAGUGAUAUCUGCAGGUAUUGUUGACGCAGUGAAGGGUUAUACAACCUAUUGUGGUUGUUCGAGGAAAUGAGAUGGUAUUGGUUAUAUUGGGACUAUUGAGUUCUAUAUCUACAAGUAUUUCUGAUCUCAAUUGGGAUUCCUUUAAAAUGUUGUUUAAUUCAAUUUGUGGUUUAAAUAUCUCGUCAAAAUAAUUUGCUUGCUGAGAUGUAUCAUCUCACUCUUGCAUUACUCAAUGCAGGUAUCUGAUUCAUGUUGGGAAUGAGGGAAGUAGCAGCACGUCCACCUUCACUAUUAUAAUAACGCUGCCCAGUUGCAGCCAUGAUUUAAUUAGAAACUCGAUGUCAAAUGAUGUUUGUUUUUUCUAGUCGUGUGCACUGGUUAAUUCAGUUCAUGUUGUUAUGUUUAACUUUCCUUUGCUAGCAUAUUAGUAAUGCUUAGUAUGUUUUUUGUCAUGAUAUAUGUUUAUACACUGUUGCCCCUCGUUUAUGCAAUCUUUCAAAGGAGAUGCUGCCGAAAUUUUAUAUAUGGAUGUCAGAUGUGUAGUUCAGUAGCAUUCCGGGGUGUUUGUGGACCCUGGGGUGUUACAGUUGGUAUCAGAGCAUAGGCUUUAGAUUCUUGGCAAUUUGAAGAUAAAUUUGAUACACUUGCACAUAUAGGAAGGGUAUGGGUUCAAAUAUCUUUGAUAUAUAUUAGUGUCUUUGAAGUGCAGAUGACAAUAAUUUCACCCCUCCCUAUUCCUUUACGGUGAUGUGGUAAGUUGUUUAUGACUUAAUGCCUAAUAUGUUUUAUCUCUAAAUCUUUAUAUUGUUUUAUUAAUGCGAUUGAUAUCGCUGGUCUUUGGUAAGAUCGAAGUUGUUAUUAUGCUUGUGAUAUACAAGUAUGCCUAUGUUGUUUUCAUCAUGUUUUUCGUGGUUGAGUUUUAUUGCAAUAAUAUUGUUAUAUAUGCUUGAUUGUGGAUGUUCCUAAGAGGAGUGUGAAUUGCGUGUUUUGGGUUACAAGGUAACCAUCAAUUUGAAUUUAAGUUGUUGAGUGGUUGGUGGAUAGUUCCAACUAUUUUUGCAAAGAAUGAUUGUUUAUGUCGAGAAACCAGUUCUGAAAGAAAUGAAUAUUGAUACUUUUAUAUGAAUUUUGGGGAAGUCUUUACAUAGCCAGAAUGGCUUACAUGUCUCUCUUCUAUUGUGUGUUUUAGUAGCCACAAAGCCUAGAGGUGGUUUAAAGUGGUUGCAUGUUAGUCAUGCUAGUUGUAGAAUAAAUCUCUGUUUUUCUUGAUCCAUUGAUUAUGUAUUAAUACGUUGAGGAUCAGAUGGUUCUCUCCCCGAUGCAUGCUGGUGGAGCCAUUGUUGGACCACCUAUCUAUUGGUUUGAAUGAAGUCAUUGCCUAGCCUAGAGUUGGUUGUGUGUGGUUAGUCACCUAUUCCUAAAUGAUGUGGUUUUUACAACAACUUGAGAUGUUUGUCAAAUGUGUGAAGGAUUACGGGGUUAUUAUUGACCUCGUAUAUCUGGUACUUUGAGUGCAUCAUAUGAUAGAAUGAAAUGUAAGUUUCUGAACUACAGUAGAUGAAGACUUAUAUUAUUUGUAGGUUAUCCUUACUAGUUUGGUUAUUUUCUUAGUUGAGUUGUUGGAUGAAGUAUAACGACAUUGGUUAAGCAAGUAUUGUGUUGUUGUUGUGCUAUCAAUGCUCUUUGUGGAGUUUUUGGCAUUUCUUCGAUGAAAUGUGUCGCGCAGAAUGUUAUGGGCUUCUUGUCGGCUUUAUUGCUCCAUUAGUUCUGUAGACUUUCUCCCUUUUGUGGGGUGCAAAGAAUGUUAGAUUACAUGAUUAUAUUUUCAUGAUGGCAAGAACGGGGUUUAGGAAGAUUAGGAGUUUUGUCUCAAUAGAACUACUUGUUUUGUGGUGCUGUGAAGUGAGGUGUUUGAUCUUCAUAUACGUUCAUCUGGCGUGGAUGUUUUACCAUUGAAUUAAAAUGAAUUGUUGAAGUUGGUAAGGGUUGUGCUUAGUGCAUAUUACCCCUUCAUAAAAGAGUGUCGUUUUAAGACAUUGAUGCUGAUGUAUGGCUGCAUCCAAAUUCGAUGUUGUGAAAUCAUAGUGUUGAUCGCAUCUAUGACUUGCUUUGAGCUUCAUUGCAGGUUGUUUCAUGCUUGUUGUUAGGUUGUGUAGCUUCCUUAGACCAUUAGUCCGAGGUAGAAGUUCUUGUGUUGAUUAAUACCAAUAAUGGAUUCAUGUUUUGAAUGGUGGUGCUAUUUGGGGUACCUUGGAUGUUUUGCUUGGAGUGGUCGAAUUCGAGGACGAAUUCUUUUUAAGGGGGUAGAAUGUAACACCCUAAAAAAAUAAACCAUUUUUAUAAUCCAAAUAUGGUAUGUCCUAUGGAUGAUCGGAGGCCGUAGAUGUAUAGAUCUCAUCAAGAUGAUUCCGAUCAAUCACUAGUUUGCCUUGUUUGGAGUCCGGAUGAGUCUUUUUGAGUGCCGGUUGAUCUGAGCCAUUGGAUAUUAGGAUUGUGGAAGUUUUCUUCUAUUUAUACCUCCCUAACCCUAGAAGCUACGUCCUCCCACCCCUAGCAGCCGUCACCCUUUUGUGCCUUGCCCCAAGAGAAGAGAGGAAGAAAAAAGAAGAGAAGAGAGGGGAGAUGAGGGCAUACCGUCGCCCAUCAUCGUCGUUCCUCUCCAAGAAUUGGUUGGAUUUCCUUUCCUCUCUCUCUUUUCUCCACUUGAUGAAUGCUUUCCCUUGUUUUGGAUGAGUUUUAGGCCCUGCAAUUAGUUUUUUUGGUUAGAUUGGAUGAGAGAUUAGAUUUUGAUCUCGAAAUUAGUUUCUGCAAAAUGGCAGAUUCAAUAGUUUCUGUUCAUGCCAGUUUUCCGUGAUCUUAGUGGCCUCAAAAAAAUAAAAAGUCUAUCUAUGAGUCGUAGAUAAUUUGUAGAUCUUUCCGUGGCCGCGAAGAACACCUCAAUCGGACAUCAGAUCAGAAAGUUAUUGCAGUUUGAUUAUAGCAGUUUUUCAGUCUCAUAAUUCUGUACAGAAUCUGUUCUCUUAAGCUUUAGGCAAUUUUAUCGACAGAAUUAAACUUUAGGAUUGUAAAAGAAGUUGUAGACAAUUUCAUAAGCUUUCCAGAUUGUUAAAGAGCGCAUUCAUAUGAAUUAUGAAAGUCCAGUUAUGUUUGUUUUACUGUGGCUGUUCCUGUUUGCCUGAUAAAAAUGAGUGGGUCUGUUCACUGGUGGGUUUCAUAUAGUAAAUAGCCAAAUUGGCUGUUCCAACUAUGGAGACAUUUGUAGAGGGAUAAAAGUUCUUACUGCCAGCAGAAUUUCAUAAUUUUUGGUUGAGUAGUUUGGUAGAUAUUGAAUUUUGAAGUUAACUAUGCUGCUGUCUGAAACAGAUUCAGACAUUUAUCUUAUCAGAUGUUUUAGAACUUAUAGAUGGCAGAAUUUAAUUAUCCAUUGAAUACCGAAGUUAUAGAAUAUUUUGUGUAGACACUCAUAGAGUAUUUGUUUAAUAUCACCACUGUUAUAAUUUUAAAGAUACAAAAUUAACAAACAGCGCUGCUGCUGUUUGGCAUGUGGUUCAGGGUGGGAGUCUUUCCACCGGGAUUUGGUUUCAAGUGUACGAGCGAUUUGUUGAUUGUUAGCAAAUGUUUGUGAAAUAUUUGUACUAAUUUUUAUGCCCGCUAGCAGGUGGCUACACUCCGGAUCAUGCCUAGUACAUCUUUCUUCUUCGAUGAAGGUAUCUGAUUCAUGUUGGGAAUGAGGGAAGUAGCAGCACGUCCACCUUCACUAUUAUAAUAACGCUGCCCAGUUGCAGCCAUGAUUUAAUUAGAAACUCGAUGUCAAAUGAUGUUUGUUUUUU
rnacentral:lncRNA from 7 species